rnacentral:tRNA from 2 species
GGCUGGUUAGCUCAGCUGGUUAGAGCGUGGUGCUAAUAACGCCAAGGUUGCGGGUUCGAUCCCCGUACGGGCCA